rnacentral:rRNA from 1 species
GAAACUUAAAUGAAUUGACGGGGGCCCGCACAAGACGGUGGAGCAUGUGGUUUAAUUCGAAGCAACGCGAAGAACCUUACCAGGCCUUGACAUGCAGAGAACUUUCCAGAGAUGGAUUGGUGCCUUCGGGAACUCUGACACAGGUGCUGCAUGGCUGUCGUCAGCUCGUGUCGUGAGAUGUUGGGUUAAGUCCCGUAACGAGCGCAACCCCUAUCAUUAGUUGCCAUCAGGUCAAGCUGGGGACUCUAAUGAAACUGCCUACGCAAGUAGUGAGGAAGGUGGGGAUGACGGUCAAAUCAGCACGGCCCUUACGUCCAGGGCUACACACGUGCUACAAUGGCCGAUACAGAGGGCAGCUACCUGGUGACAGGAUGCAAAUCCUCCAAAGUCGGUCUCAGUUCGGAUCGGAGUCUGCAACCCGACUCCGUGAAGUUGGAUUCGCUAGUAAUCGCGCAUCAGCCAUGGCGCGGUGAAUACGUUCCCGGGCCUU